rnacentral:tRNA from 1 species
GGGGUUGUGGCUUAGUUGUAGAGUGCUUGCCUAGCACACAUGAGGCACGGGGUUCGAUCCCCAACACCA